AACAGCCUCUGAGUUGGGAGAGCAAAAACCCAGGCUUAGCUCUCUCCAUCUAGCUGGGACAACUCUGGGCCCCACGUUCCUACCAGUAAAAGGCGAGGGUUGAACAUAAUGUCUUUACAUUUAUUAUUUGUAGGAUAUCACAGCUUCUGUUCACAAACCCCACGUGCGGUCGCUGGGACAGUAUCAUGAGGCCUGAUGGGCAGAUUUGGGAAUGGAAACCCAAAGAGGGUUUGAGAAGCCCUGCCUGCCACAAGUCCUCUGUUGUCCCCACGAGACUACAAGCAUCAUGAGGGCAGAGAACUGAUUAAAUGGCAUUUUAACCUCAAUAAUGAUGUUUUCAAGAGGAUCCCUCUGAUUGCCAGAUCCAAUCCGCAGGGAGCACUGGUUAAAGGAGCUGAAUUCCCCUACUGUGUUGGUGCAGGAGAACAAUAAAGAGUGCUUGAGUUGAGACAGGAGCUGGAGGACAAAGGGACCACUUACACCUGGCUUCCAAUGUGACAAAAUCUACGAUAAUGAGGAAAGGAGUCGUGGACAUGGGAGCUUCGAGAACUACCUACCUUCCUGGCAGUCAUGAAAAAAACAUCACGGUGCCUGUUCUCAUGGAGCAGAUGAUCUCAUGGAAAAAACAAAUAAGCAAACACCCCAACUCGAAUCCAAACACAAUGACCUCAAACCGAUAAUGGUGGGAGGCCAUUAACUUCUGACUAGGGAAAUCAGAGAAGUAUUCAAGCGUUUUAAGGAUGACAAAUAUGGAGAAGGGUAAGGCCAUACAUGAAGGUGUACAAGAGCAUGUUAGGGUUUAAGGAAGCAAGGCUGAGUGAUAUCACGAGACUCAUAUCAAGAAUGGGGGCCCAUACCAGGGGGAGUCUUAAAAACCACUCAGUGGAAUUGGGGAUCUAUUACGCAGACAGACACUGAAGGAUUUUUAGGACAUGUGUGACAUAAUCCAGCUAAGUCUGACAGCUAGUGAAGGAUAGUUUGGAGGAGUAAUGCAUGAGAUGCUCAGAGAUCAGCUGAGAAAUUAAUGCAGUCAUCUAGGUGAAAAAGGAUGAAAAUCUGAAGGAGGGGUCCUGGCAGGCCCCCUUCUCAGCUAGACAGGGUGGGUUUAAUUGUCCUCUUGGAUGCGCCUAUGGAAGAGCUCUCAACUCCAAGUAACCAAUCCUAAGAGCCCGGCCUGUGUAUCCAACAACAGAAUCUGGCUUUGGUUGUUCUCAACCCUACUUUCUCAGUUCCUAUCAAGCUCCAGUAAAGCAGGUGAUUGGCAGCUUAGAAAUGAUGCUGGGAGAAGGUGUGGUUGGCCUGUCAGUAGGGUAGCUGGGUGCUGGGGGAGAAGGAUUCAUGGGAAGCCGCAUGUGAGAUUCAGCUGCCUAUUGAUCAAGCCCAUUUGCACGUGAACCUCAUCAUCAACUCCUGCUUAAGCCCUCGCUUCCCAGGUAAUUGACUCUCGCAUAUUGAUUAAGAUGUUGAUAUGUCCCAGGAUUUCUCAGCGGUGAUGCAGGCUCGCCUCCCGGCAGGCAGGGCUAGCAAAGCUCCAGCCUGUCACUGAGCGCUCCUUAAUGGAUAAAGCUGUCAUCUGAGAGCUGGAAUGUCUUGCAGGCACAAAGACGAAAUUAACUGUUCAAUAAUGUAUGGGACAUGGAAAAAACUUUACCCAACAACUCGAAUUGAUUGCUAUGUGAGUCCUGUUAUUGAAAAUGCUCCAGGCAGAGUCCCCAGCUGGAAGCACGUCCCCAGCAUUUCCUGCCCUGAUGUACGACACACUCAUUCAUUCUCCUCUGAGGAACUUUGCUUCAGGUCCAAGGAAUAGGAUAUGGCGGUUUGUAGGGGGAGGUAGCAAACUGGGUCCAGCCCAGACAGGCCCAAUGUGCAGGGUUUCCGUUGACUGCUGCCACCGGAGUUGGUGUGGUGCUUUUCUCUGCCUCUGCUAAGACAUUGAGCAGUGUCUGUUUGAAGUCUGGUCUUUGGGAAGGAGACCCAAGAGAACAUGAGCUGGUCUUGUCUGGAUAUCAAAGUCCAAAUUAAAAAUUUAUUCCAGUGUUUGAAAAAUUCCUGGCCAAAACCUUCAUAUGGAUUAAAAAAAUACAAACUCCCUUGUUUCUUCAGUGUCUCCAGUUGAAAACUAGAGGAUUUAUUCCAAAAGAGAAAAAUAAAAUAAAAGGGAGGCCAAAUAGUUCCAUAAAUGGACUCAGGUCAGACGGCUUCUUAGCUAAAUCUGUAAGGAAAAUAAUCUGUUAAACCACUUUGGGCAACUGGGAAGCACUUGUUUUAGUUAUCAUUUUUGAAUCCAUUUUUCCCCCCUUUCUUAUUGCAUGUCAGAUGACCUGGCUUUUUACUCCUGGAGCUGAAGGGUAAAGAAUAAGAAACAGCUUCUGCAAUUCCACCCCCACACCCACCUACACCUCCCUGGACAGUAAAAUAGAGAUGAAGCCUUUUUUUUUUUUUUUUAAAGUUGUGAGUUUAAAGAGGAAAAUGGUGGCCAAGCAAAUAAUCUAAUAGUAAUUGUGAAGUUAUAGAUAAUAAGAACAUAAAAAAUCAUUUAGGCAAAAUGAGGAAAAAAAUAAAAUAAGGGAGGAGCAAAAAUUUAAACAAUAAAUUUAAACCAAGGCUAUUAACAAAAUUUAUACAAGAAAUAGAACUAACCCGAUAUGGCACUUUCCCCAUAACAGGUUAGUUAUAUUUCUUCUGUAAAUUAGUGAAACAUGGAAAUAGAAGUUGAGAAUAAGAAAUUAGCUCCAAGGGCAAAACACCGAGAAGAAGGAUCGGGAUCAAUAUAUCAAAUUCAAAUGGAAAGCAAAGGGCAGAGUAGAGGAAAGUGAUAGAACCAUAUCAACAGACAGAAGCAACGGAAACUAUCAAUGGAGACACUGCCAGCACUGCAAAGACAUAAAGCAACCUGUAAACGAUGAAUGCUAGGACUCAAACGAACUUACCCAGGUCUUGCAGUCCAGGCUUUUUGCGAUGGUUGUUUUGGUAAGCAUGGUAAUUGGAAGUAUCACUUGUAUACCUACCAUCCGUGUACAGUUUGGUGAAUGUUUUAGAAUGAGCACACCCCUAGGACCACCAUUCACAUCUGACCAAGGAGCACGGCCAUUACCCCAAGGCUACUGUCAUGCUCCUAUUCUCCACGUGUUACCUCCCUUCACACAUCCGUCAGCACAGAUUAGUUGUGCCUGUUUUUUAGGGUCACACGGAGUUAUAAAGUAUUUUUUAAAUUUCUUUUUUGCCUCUCUUUCAUUCAACAUUAUAUGUAUGAUUUUUAGCCAUGUUUUUGCGACAGAGUGGUAUUUUCCCCAUUCUCAUUGAUAUGUAAUAACCGUUGUAUGAAUCCACCACAAUUGAAUCAUUCCAAUGUUGAUAGAUAUUUCUGUUGUUUCCGGUCUUUGACUAGUAAAAAGAGAAUUGCUUUGAACAUUCCUUUACGUGUCUUUUGGGUCACUGACACAUAUAUUUCUGUGGGUAUAAAUCUAGGAGAAUGAUUGGGUCAUACGGUAUGCAUAUGUUUACUUUUAAUAGACACUGCAAAACAGUUUUUCAAAGCAGUUAUACCUGCUUACAGUUCUGCUAAGAGUAUGUGAGAUUUCUUGUUGCUUCAUAUUCAUACCAAUAUUUAGAAUUGUCAACUUACCUUAAAUUUCACACAUUUAAUGUGUAAGUGGUUAAUAUUGAAUUAUGAUUUUAAUUUCGCAUCUUUUCAUAAAUUUGUCACCAAUUUAGAUACCUUUUAUUGUGAAGUGACUGUUCAAUUGUUUUUUUCCAUUUUUUUAAUGUGCUGUAUGUCAUGUUGUUGUACUGUAAGAGAUUUUUAAAUAGUCUGGAUACAAGUCCUUUUUCUGAUGUAUUUUUGGAAAUAUCUUCUCCCAUUCUAUGACUCACAUUUAAUUCUCUUAAUUAUAUGCUUGUAUUCCUUUUCUUUCAUAAGAAGUUCUUAAUUUUAAUAUGACUACUAUAUCAAUCUUUUGUUUUAUGGCUAGUGUAUUUUAUGUCUUGUUUAAAUUUACCUACAUGAGGUGAUAAGGAUAUUCUCAUGUGUUACAUUCUAGAAGUUUUGUUAUUUAAAUUUUUUACACUUAGGUCUAUGAUCCAUCUGUAAUUGCUUUUUGUAUAUGAUAUGAGAUAGCGGUCAAAGUAAUUUAUUUUUCCUUUUAAAAAUCCAGUGUACCCAACCAUUUAUAAAAAAGACCAUUUUUCACACACUGCAUUGCAAGGAUGGCUUUGCUGUAAAUCAGGUGAUAUAUAUAUAUAUAUAUAUAUAUAUAUACACACACACACACACACACACACACACAUAUAUAUAUAUAUGUUUGUUUGUUUCUGGAUUCUCAACUCUGUUCUAUGUGUCUAUUUGUCUCUAUUUGCACCAAUUUCACACUGUCUCUAUUACCAUUGCUUUAUACUAAUAAGUUUUGAUAUCUGGCAGAUAUCAAACUUUCUUCUUCAAUUUCACCUUGACUCUUUUUUUCCUUUGCAUUUCCAUGUAUAUUUUAGAAUUAGCUUAUCAAUUUUCAUAAGAAACAAAAGG